ensembl:snRNA U6 U6 spliceosomal RNA
GUGCUCACUUCAGCAGCACAUACGCUUAAGUUGGAGGAAGACAGAGAAGAUUAACAUGGCCCUUGCGCAAGGAUGACAUGCAGAUUCGUGAAGCGUUCCAUAUUCAA